rnacentral:lncRNA from 10 species
GCGCGGGGCGGGAGCUUGGUGGAGCAGGAGCGGCUGGGCAUCCUCCUGAGACUCCGGGGUCAGACGCCCACUCCAGCGCUUUCUGCGCAGCACAGGCACCCUCGCCUGUCACGCCUCCCUCUCCUCUUCCCGUCUCCCAGCGUGGAUGAGGGCGCCUGCAGAUCCCGGCUAGGGCACGGACCGCCUAGGCCGAGAACACAAAGAGGGCCGGGCGCAGUGGCUCACACCUGUAAUCCCGGCACUUUGGGAGGCCCAGGCGGGUGGAUCACGAGGUCAGGAGUUCAAGACCAGCCUGGCCAAGAUGGUGUCUCUACUAAAAAUUCAAAAAUUAGCUGGGCGUGGUGGCUAGGCGCCUGUAAUCCCAGCUACUCGGGAGGCUGAGACGGAGAAUUGCUUGAACCCGGGAGGCGGAGGUUGCAGUGAGCCGAGAUUGCACCACUGCACUCCAGCCUGGGUGACAGAGCGAGAGUCUGUCUCAAAAAAAAAAACACACACAAAGAGCCUGGGCAUGGUGGCUCACACCUGUAAUCCCAACAUUUUGGGAGGCUGAGGCAGGUGGAUCACUUGAGGUCAGGAGUUCAAGACCAGCCUGACCAACAUGGCAAAACCCCAUCUCUACAAAAAUAUUCAAAAAUUAGCCAGGUGUGGUGGUGGGCACCUGUAAUCCUAGCUACUCAGGAGGCUGAGGCAGGAUAAUUGCUUGAACCCGGGAGGCGGAGGUUAGGAUGAGCAGGGAUCGUGCCACUGCACUCAAGCCUGGACGACAGAGUGAAGCUCCGUCUCAAAACAAAAAUCCCACAAAGAAUAAAAUCAAAUUUGUUUCAUGCAUCAUCUGUUUGCAAAACUCUGCCUUAAAAACUGCUACUGUACACGGUGAUUAUAUUCUCCGAUGAAUGGAAAAUUCUGAACUGUGAUGUAGAUAUUGUACAUUUUUCAUGAAAUGAAGUGGUAGAAAACAGAAAUUACUACUGGAAAUGAUCCCUUCUGACUGUCAAAUUCUGUUUUCUAUGAAGUGUGUGGUAUUUCAGCUAUACUGUAUUUUUUUUUUUUUUAUAGAGCCAACCAAGGACUCUUGUCACUAUUUUUAUUUAUUCUAAUGAGAAAUGUAUUCAUGGUUCCAGGUCAGUAUGUCAAAUGUCUAACUCCCUGUCUUAAAAAGGGAGUUCCCAAAUGACUGUUCAUAUAACCAUAUGUGUUUCUUGUGGAGACUGUCUGUAUUCUUGGCUUUGUCACUGGAUUUGUGGCUUAGUGCUGUCACGUUUCCUAUCUGAGGCAAAUGCCAUAUAUGUUUAGACCAGCCUUUCUCAAUUGUGGCACUUUUGCCAUUUUUGGCCAGUUAAAUUCUGUUGUGGGGGCUGUCCUGUGCAUUGCAGGAUGUUUAGCAGCAUCUCUGGCCUCUACCUACUAAAUGCCAGUGCACCCUCCCUGCAGUUAAAUGACCCCAAAUGUCUCCAGACAUAGGCAAAUGUUCCCCGGAGAACAAAGUCAUCUUUGGUUGAGGAACAAAAUGAACCUAUAUUUAAGAUGGUCUAAAUGUUUCUGAGAUGGUCUAAACAUUUAUAAGCUUAACAAUUAACUUGAAACUCUUCAGGACUAGAGAAGCUAUUUGUAAAUUUAAACAUCUGACGCCUUGAAACACCUUUAUCAUAAAGAUAACUAAACCAGUGUUCUUUGUGAAUGGCCAAUGUGUCCUGCCAGUUUCUUUUUUUUUCUUUUUCCUAUUCUGAGAAGCAUGCCCUGCCAGUUUCUAUCUCCAAAGAAAUUUCAAGCGUUCAGUGUAUUUGUUAAAUUUCAUAAAGUUUAAAAAGUUGAAAAUGAAAAAGGAAUUCUACGGUAGUUUUAAGUAGAAUUUAGUUUUAAGAAAAAUUAACCUCUUUUUAGCUAACAGCAAUAAAACGAAGACUGCUGUGUAUUUCUGUAAUCUGAAAAAUCUCGACUUUCUCAAAGGGAGCGCUACAUAAUGUAUGAUAUAAUUUAUAUCAGAAGAAAACAUGUCCUAGAAAUGUAACCCUCUUUCUUAGGACUUACAUGUGCUCAGGGAGGUUGAAAACAACCUUGAUUAUGGAGGAUGCCUCCUUAGCUGGGGAUUAGCUAUCCACUGUUCCCUUCCAGAAAUCAAACUAAUUUGUAAAACUCAGGACUGGCUACAUAAUUUGUGGGGCCCCUUGUUAAAAAAAUUAAGAAUUUGAACAUGGUGACCACAGAGCAUUAAGCCAAGCACGGCCCAGUGUGACUGCGUUGGUUGCCCACCCAUGAGCUGGCCCUGGUGAAACUCUUUAUUCAUAGCUAAGAGUAAGGUUGUGGUCACAAAUGCAAAUCUAAACCGUGAAAUGUUACUGCUGCCACUAGGCACCUGGAGUUUCUGCUUCCUUGAUUGUUCUUCUGUUUCCAAUGAGGAGUCUGCAUGUAUUUGGUCAUCAAUGCAAUAAUGUUACUAAGAAAUCCUCCCAUGAUUGAUUUUUCGUUUGCUAAAGAGGUAGCCAAAUGUUUGUUCAUUAGAGUCAUGGGUACUGGAGCAACCUAUUUAUUCAGGCAUUCAUUGAACAACUAUUUACUGAGCAUCUGUUAGAUGCCCGGCAUUGCUCGCUCCAGGGCCACAGCUGUGAACAAGAUGGAGGGUCCCUGCCUUUAUGAGCUUAUGAGCCAAACACAUAGUCACACCGGCUCAGGCUAUCACAAUCUUAAGUGGUACUUAGGAAAGCACAGGGUGUUAGGGGAGCAUGUGACCUUGAGACCUAACCUGGUUGAGGGGAGAGGGACUGUUCAGGGAAGACCUGCUUAAAAAAUGAUAUUUAAAAUAAGGCCUGGGGGCAGGUAUGGUGGCUCACACCUGUAAUCCUAGCACUUUGG